CCGGGACCCAGAGACUGGCAGCGUGAUGGAGAGAGGUGGUGACCCAGAGACUGGCAGGGUGAUGGAGAGAGGUGGUGACCCAGAGACUGGCAGCUUGAUGACACCCGUUCAGUUCGGCUGCGGGGAAAUUUGAUUGUGAUGCAGGACCCAGGAGGACAAUCUAUGCCAUGGACAUAGUUACUGAUCAUUCAGGUCAAAGGUCAAUUAGCUUCAGGUCAAAGACACAGGGAGAGUGCUCUGUUGCUCUGGACUGGAGUUCCAUCAUGCAGAAGUGUGGGGACUAGUUAACGGGUCUGUUGGCAAAAUGUUUGUUAUUGGCAGGUUGUUAUUUCAUCAGUUGACGUAAUCCUAUUGAAUAUGCUAAUCUAAAAUGUGUGUGUGUGUGAGAGUGAGACGGGGCUGGGACAAUAAACUGAUAAUUACUGA